rnacentral:rRNA from 1 species
ACUACGUGAGGCAGCAGUGAGGAAUAUUGGUCAAUGGACGAGAGUCUGAACCAGCCAAGUAGCGUGAAGGAUGACUGCCCUAUGGGUUAUAAACUUCUUUUAUAUGGGAAUAAAAUGUUCCACGUGUGGGAUUUUGUAUGUACCAUAUGAAUAAGGAUCGGCUAACUCCGUGCCAGCAGCCGCGGUAAUACGGAGGAUCCGAGCGUUAUCCGGAUUUAUUGGGUUUAAAGGGAGCGUAGGUGGCUUGUUAAGUCAGUUGUGAAAGUUUGCGGCUCAACCGUAAAAUUGCAGUUGAAACUGGCAGUCUUGAGUACAGUAGAGGUGGGCGGAAUUCGUGGUGUAGCGGUGAAAUGCUUAGAUAGCACGAAGAACUCCGAUUGCGAAGGCAGCUCACUGGACUGCAACUGACACUGAGGCUCGAAAGUGUGGGUAUCAAACAGGAUUAGAUACCCUAGUAGUC